rnacentral:rRNA from 1 species
CACGUAGGGGGCGAGCGUUGUCCGGAUUCAUUGGGCGUAAAGGGCGCGCAGGCGGCCCGGAAAGUCGGAUGUGAAAACUCGAGGCUCAACCUCGAGCGUGCACCCGAUACUGCCGGGCUUGAGGCAGGUAGGGGAGAUCGGAAUUCCUGGUGUAGCGGUGAAAUGCGCAGAUAUCAGGAGGAACACCGGUGGCGAAGGCGGGUCUCUGGGCCGAAACUGACGCUGAGGAGCGAAAGCGUGGGGAGCGAACAGG